rnacentral:lncRNA from 1 species
UUGUUAAUACUUAUAACCUUAUUUUAGAACUCCGAUAGCAUCAGAAGAAUAUCUUAUCACGCAAAAUAGGAAAUCAUGGGCAGAAACACCAUCCGAGAUAAAAGAUGUGUAUGGGGAAGAAUAUUUUGAAUCGUUUUUAGAUACAAUAUCAAAGCAGAUGAAGCGUGCUAGGAGUAACGUUGAGGAGGUUAUCGACCAGAUGGUAGAAGCCGUGACUAGAGAGGAUCCGAAGUGUAGAUAUGUACCUCACUGGCUUACAUACAUUCGAGCGACGAUACUGAUGUAUUUACCGCAGAGCGUCACUGAUGCUUUCUUUAGAAAGACUUACAAAGUUGUUGGACCUGUUCACGGAAAGACACAAUGAUUUGAAACAAUUGCUAUCUAGUGUAUAUUCAGUAUUGGUGAAUGUAAACGUAUGUAGUUGAGAUACGGAAUAGAAAUGCUAAAAGUGGCAUCUUCAACGGAUUCGGAAGUCGUUUUGCUUUCUCACGCUAUAGUGAAUUCUUUAAGAUAACUGAUUAGGUAACUAGUGUGUAGUCGUAACCUGUAUCACGGUUACAGUACACACACGAUGGUUCAGUAAAAAUGACUCUUAAUGGCCAAUGAUUUUUCACUUUUGUUGUUAUUUAGUAAAUUUUUAUUUAAUUUAUCUUUUAUUUAUAGUCUAUUUACCAAGGUUUUUACUGUGCUUUUAGUCUUGAAAACGGCAAGCCAUCUUUCAAAAUGUUUUGUUCUUGUUUCGGGUCAAGACUAUUGAAAGUGAUUAUCUUUGUCCUUUCAUAGUCUUUUAUUUUGUCUGUUAAACAUUUGACUUACUUGUAUAUUUUACUGAUAAGUUUCCGUCUAUGACCAGUUUAUUUAUAGUUUACUUGUCUUGUCUCAGGGAGAUUUUAGACUUGUCACAUGAUGUUGGCGAUUGACCAUUGUGGAAGAGAUCGUAUGUUGAUCUAUGUUUUUUUACUACAUUUAUUUUUUAUUUUUCUUAAUGUAUUCUGUUUUUUUUUUCUCACUUUUAUAAACAUUUGUAAAUGUCCAUUACACAACGUUUUGCAUAAUUCGGUGUUCACUGACAAGUUUGAAAAAAGAAACUAUUUUCAAAUUUUAUAGCUUGCUGUUCGUGGAGAACCAAAGCUCCGUGUGGAAGGUCUUACUUUGAUCUAUAAUGCUUUACUUUUUACUGAUUGUAACUUGAAUGGAGAGUUGUCUCAUUGGCACUACUCAUACUACGUAUUCUUAUACCAAUUUAAACAUGCAGCGCUUAGAAAUACCUUAAAUUUGAUCGUAUUCCUUGUCAUUCUGAAAAGUCUUGACUAGUAUAUUCAGCGACAAUAAAGUUCCAAAAAAACACGGUGCAUGGUGAACAAAAAACGUGUGUAUUUAAAACAAUGUCUUUAUCUCUCUAUAAAAAAGUAAAAUCACAAUAAUACUGAACUUAGGGGAAAAUCAAUUUGGAAAGUCCAUAAUCACAUGGCAAAAUCAAUAACAAAACACAUCAAAAACGAAUGGGCAAGAACUGUCAUAUUGCUGUUUUUUUACAGGCAUUUUCAAAUGUAGUAAAUGGUGGAUUAAACCUGGUUUUAUAGCGCUAUUCCUCUCACUUUGACGACAAUCUCAUCAAAUUCCGUUAUAUUUACAAUGAUGCGUGAACCAAACAGACAUAAUAAAUAAAAUAGUCAAAAUAUAGGUACAGCAGUCAUCAUCGUGUAACAAUUUUAAAAGGAACAAUUUAACAGAACACAAAACCAUCUAUCUACAAACACAUUCAUUGAUUCGCGUGUCUGACGUCAGAAAAUCCCACAGAAGCUCUUGCCAAUGUUAAGUUUCAAUAGUGGUUGUUGUUGGCAUAUAAUACUGGUAAAAAACAAUGAUACAACAGAGAACAAUAUCCCGCAAAACUAUAAUUUUAACAUAAAUGUGUUGUGUUUUAUGAAAUUAACUAGUCCACUCUCCUUAGUGUUAUAGACUUUUUGACAAAUGGAGCAACAUAAAAUUAUGACAAGUUCAUGCGUAGAUGAAAAAAAAUGUCGAUAUUUUCUUAAUUAUAUAGGUUUACGUAUGUUUAUAAAUAUUAUUUAAAUUCUAAACUUAGAUUUUUAUUUUUAAAGCCGUGUAAAAUAUUUUCAGCAUUAACCCGGUGUACACAGUCUUGUUUUGACUUUUAAUUAUGAAUAAAGAAUAAGAAUUAAAAAAAAAGUGUUUAAAGUUUUAUUUCAUGACAAUUACAGUUGAGGUGAACUAUUUUUUUGGAGAUAGAUAUACAUUGUUAUUAAUUGUCAAUAUAUAUAGACCCAUUUCACUUUCAUUGUUUAAAGAUUUAAAUAGACCCUUGUCACGGCUUUUCAAAGCAUUAAGAUAAGUAUUUUAACAAAGGAAAAUUUCAAUCCAGUAAGGAUUACAAUAAUAUGUCGUUUAUAAAUUCUUGUUGCUUUUAUUCAUAUUUUAUGAAAUUAUGACAGUAUUUUUUUUUUUUUUUUUAAAUAUUCAAAUGUAUUUUGGUGUUUUGCUUAAUAUUCGAGGUUGCUAUAAAUAUAUACGAUCGACAAAGAGAUACAUUCACAUUUAUUCGUCUUUUGCCAUUUCAACAAUAAUUUUAACCACUUUCUAUUUCUCUUAAUAUCUCGUAAUAUUCGUUCCCCUGUUUUAACUUUAUUGUAGUUUCCCAAUUAUUUCCAUCUCACGCUUAUAGUUUAGUGUUUUCUUUCCCAGCACACUUUUACUUUCUAUACCUUUUUUGUGACAGGUGAUCUUACGUAUAUUUUUUGUUAUAUAAUAAUUCAAAUUUGUAUAACAAAUUGAUUUUCUAUACAAUGGCUUGAAUAUUUAAUUACAUAUAAUUGUAUUUUGUUAUAGAACUCAAUCUAGUUUUACAUAUUAUAUUAUACAUUGUAGUAUUUAUUAUGUAAGAAACAUUAUACCAUAGGGCACUGGAAACCAGAUAAUGCAUUUUGAAUACAAUAAAUACGUGUAUAACUUUGUUUCUAAGUUAUAUAACAACUCUAUAACUUUUUUGUUAUUUAUAUAAUAUCAAUUUUCAAGUCUGUUUACUAUACUGUCGAAGUUAAAGUUUCCAAUGACGUGUGAUCUUUACAUCGUACACGUACUGACGUGUGAUCUUCACAUCGUACACGUGC